rnacentral:misc_RNA from 1 species
AACGCACCUUGCACCUUUUGGAUAUUCCAAAAGGUACGCCUGUUUGAGUGUCAUGAAAACCUCUCAUUCCAAUUCUUUAUUUCAUUAUAUUGAGUUGUGAUAUGGAUGUUGAGUGCUGCCGUAAUUUGGCUCACUUUAAAUUUAUAAGUACUUUUAUUGAAGAAAUAAAUGGAUAUUUACUCAGGGUAAUAUUUACUAUUCAUUGAGGAGCGUAGUCAUUUUUCUAUGACGACAGCCAUUUGCACAUUCAAUAAAUAGCUUCCUAACCCUAUAUAUAUAUCAAAACUUUCAGACCUCAAAUCAAAUGGGACUACCCGCUGAACUUAA